CGGGGUGUAGCGCAGUUGGCAGCGCGCCGGUUUUGGGAACCGGAGGCCCUGAGUUCGAGCCUCAGCACUCCGACCA
rnacentral:tRNA from 1 species